UUAAGAUUGCGCUAUGCCCUGAACAAACAGAGCAGGAGGCAGACAGAGACAAUUUACUGCCUAAAAAUUUGGGAUGAAGAGAUGAACAAAUAGAAAAGCAGAACACCAUAGCAGAGAUGCAUUGCUGAAAGUCAGGAACAGAAGAAUUAAGAUUUGACUGAAAUCUGAUGGCAAGUUUGUGAACAGUCAAGUUGUGGCCCAGACCUCCCUCCAACUCUUUUGGUCAGUAGCAGAGUCUGUGGCAGAUGCUGGGCAGCUGUGAACAGAUCAGAAGCUGGUAUACCAAAUGCCAGAGCAGACCGUGGCAUUAGGAAGCAGAAGUUGUAGACAUGAAUUGGAACAGAAAAAAUCAAGAGACUAGUUAGAAAAGCUAAGUAUUCCAAGGUUUUAUAAGAAGUUUACUGAAGUUGCUGAUUUGUGUGAAUUGAUGCAAUAGUCUGAAUAUUGAAAUUCCUGGAUGUGUUAUGAUGCUGAAAAUUAAAAAAGGCAAAUUCCUAGCACAGGGGUCUUUAAAUGUGAAACUGAUAGAAUGGAUGUGAAGGGAGAGCUAUUGCAUUUCCAGGAGGGAGGCAGAAUGUCAACAUCAAAUGGGAAGAUACCACCUUUUGUUAUCUCUAAUGUAAAAUUUCUUCUAUAAAAUACAGCCAGAGCAUGUGCUUAAUUUAUCAGCCUGUUUAUAGGCAUACGUGGUUAAGGCUUUUGCCAUAGUUGUUUGAGGUUUUUUCUAAAUUUGUAUUAUCUUAGUAUGUCUGCUCUUGUUGUUUGGUUAGUUCCAGCUGUAUAAGUAGUAAAUUUAUUUCUUCUGUCACUUCUGACUUGCACCUGCUCCUUUUGAAUUUCGUCCAUUGGCAUCUCUCUUUGGCCUUAGUCUAAAGUCCUUAAUUUAUACAGCAUUUGACAGAACAUUUCCAGAAGUCUGUUACCAUAGUCUUCCCCUCCAGUGAACUCAGUACUUGUUUGUUCAGCAUGUAUUGCAUAAAGACUAAAAGAUGUUGAAUAUAAAGGCUCCCUAGCUUCCGGAACAAUUCCAUAUCUGUGUAUCUAAUCAGAGUUGUGUUUCUCACUCCAGGCUGGUAAAAACCAAAUUGCCAUAGAGCUCAGUAAAGACUGAUUUUGCAGGUGCAUCUUUUGUAGCUGUGCUUGUAAAUAUGACUUCUGGGAUGUUUGGAAGGCAGUUUCAAGCACCUCCAGAGAAGAAAUUCAUUAUGAAGAGCAGAAUAAAUGCAAAUAUUAAAGUUACCACUGACUGUUAGAAGCCACAAUAUUUGAUAGCAUUUGUGAGAAAUUUUAUGUGUGUCUAUACAAACUGCAGAUUUUAAAACUUUUUUUUUUGAGGGGAGGGGAACUGAAGUAAGUUUAUGAAAUCUUUUAAAGUAUUCUGAAAACAUAAUACUGGGAUCUAAUAUUUGUUUUCUUGGAAUGAGAACAUGUUUAACUCUGGCCACACAUUUUUAUAAAAUGCAGAUACAUAGGAGCAGAGAGGAGAUUGCUUUUUAAGGAAUAAAGUUGACACACAACAAUGUGUCUUUGCAGCCCAGAAAGCCAGCUGAAUUCUGGGCUGCAUCCAAAGCAAUGUGACCACUAGGAAGGGGAUCCUAUCCCUCUUCUGUGCUCUGGUGAGAUCCUACCUGGAGCACUGCAUCCAGCUCUGGGAUCCACAGCACAAUAAGGACACAGGGGAGGCCAUGAAGAUGGUCAGGACUGGAGCACUUUUCCUAUGAGGACAGACUUAAGGAGUUGGAUUUGUUCAGCUGGGAGAAGACUCCGGGAGAUCAUAUUGCACCUUCCAGUAUCUGAAUAGGUCCUAAAAAUAGCUGGAGAGGGGCUUUUUACAAGGGCAUGGAGAGAUAAGAAUAGGAGUAAUAAUUUCAAACAGAAGGAGGGUAGGUUUGUAUUAGAUAUUAGGAAGAAAUUCUUCACUAUAAGGGAGGUGAGGCACUGGCACAGUUGCCAAGAGAAGUAGCAGAUGAAGUGUUCAAAGCCAGGUUGGGUGGGUCAUUAAGCAAUUUAGUCUCAUGGAAGUUGUCCCUGCUCAUGGCAGGGAAGUUGGAACAAGAUGACCUUUAUGUCCCUUCCAACCUAAGCCAUUCUUUGAUCCUAUGACCGAAUAGUAAUAAAAUAAUCCCCAGGAACCAGACUGGAAAGGGCAGCCUCUACUUUUAGGAUUUACAAAAGGUGAUUCUGUCUUGACCUGAGAACCCAUUUGACUAACGUGGUUGAUCUUUUUUUUUUCAGUUUCCACAGAGAACCAAACACAGCCAUGUGGUUUGGACCACAGUCAGCACCUUUGACGCUCCUGCCUGAGUGACCAGUUCCUCAAUAAUUAUAGGAUGACUCUUAUCCAAAUUCAAUCCUAUUCCUCUAGGUCCUGUAGCAAGCUUGACUGUGUGUGAACAUAUGUGUAAACACAUAUGUAUGUACGCAUCUGCUUUUAGCGAAGACAUCCUUUAAAUUCCCUACAGAACUAGAAGUCAGCCUUGGUUUUAAAUAUUGCGAGGUUAAGCCCUCUUCCUCCUUUCACAUCCCUCCCCAUGAAAAACCUGUGCAUUGCUACAUUACAUCAGCAUUUAGGAUUCCUAAAAUAAUGAAUAACAAUUGUAUCAGAUUUUUUAAGUGCAGUUCAUGCCAAAUUUGUGCAAUAAUUAGAAAUGCAAGCCCAAAUAGUUUUGUCUUUCUAAUAUGAAAAAAUUGCAAAUUUGUGGGAGAAAAGUGCCUACUUUGAGCUUUGCUUUGCAAAACAUGUUCAAAACCCUACCCUCCAACACCCAGUCUUGCUGGAUUUUUAAGCACUUAAUUAAUCUCAGUCAUGGGAACAAAUAAAUUUAUUUUGGAAAAUUAAUAUUACUUUUCCUUAAGGUUUUGCUAGAGGGAGCAUCAGGGAUCUGCAAGACAGAACUGUUUCUAUUCUCUGUCAGAUCUUUUAAUGGAGUUUUUAAGAACAGCUUACUAAGUUCUACUCACUUCAUUCUGCAUGUGAAAGCCCAUGCAGAAUGGGCACAAAUUUGCAGAAGCCUUAGUUACAGAGGAGAUAUUAUGAAGAUGCAGAGAAACCUGUUAUUUUUGUGAGAUGCAAUAUCCUUUCAAAGUAUUGAAACAAAAUUCUUUGGUGGAUAUAGGAUCAAUUAUUUAAGACAUGGUAGUUUGGCCCAUGUGGGGGUGUGGAUAUUCUUCAACAGCCUUUGACAUAAUUUCCAGCUGUUCUUUGAACAAGCAGAGAAGUGUGUCAGAGACCUUCAUUUUGUCAUGUUGGGCUUCCUCUUAUGGGCUUCUGUGUCAGUGGUGCUCCUGCUCUCUACACAGUGUGGUAAUGUGGUAACACACUUGGGCCUCCAAAGGCAUUCACCUAGGAAGGAACUAUGCUUGUGGCAGUCAGUUCAUGGGUAGUAGAAGGAAAGACAAAAUAAUGGCCUAAUGAAUCAACCUCAUUGAAAAAACUCACAGUUGUGACUUUUUAUAUAUGUAUAUGUAGCUAAUGAGAAGGAAGGAAGGAAAGAAACAAUAUAAGCAUAAAAAAAACUUGGGUAUAGAAUGUGUCAAAUAUGCUAAGCCCUGAUGUAGGAAGCAGUCUUAAUCUGUUGACAAAAUUUCACUGAGUUAGUUUCUAUCAAAAUACUGGUCAGCAUAAAAUUGUAACACAGAUUCCUUAGUUGUUUUGGGGUUUGGUUGUUUUGUUUCCAAUCAGUCUCUGAAGCCAAAUGGUAUGUCAAAUUUGUAAGAACAAUCUAUGACAUUCAGAGAAAUGUUGUCUAAAGAUUCAUUUGCUCCUUACUGCUUUGAUGGAGCAGAAAAUAAGUAUCAAAUAAUGGACAGAAAAGGAUUUGCUUUAAAAAGACUGAUGCUGCCAGUUUGGGGGGAAAAAAAAGGGUAAAUCACACUGCAGAUUUUAGUGCUCUGCCUUUUCAAUAAGGUACUGCAGUGUCUUCUAAUGAUUGAUACUAUGCCAACCCAAUCUCAUGUUUUUAUUUCUCUAUACAUAUUUUAUAGGUGCCUGGGUGAUACAGUUCUACUGACCACAUGGUCACGCGUCUGACACAAAAGGCUCCAAACACAUUAUGGAGUUAUGUAAAUCAGGUGUAAUAUAUUGCAACUUGACUAAGAAAGCAAUGUGUAUCCUGUUGUUUAGCUCUGUUUUACAGACUUAGUUCAAAUGAAUUACUGCUUAUACAUAAUGUGCUAGGAAAGUACUAUUACAAAUGUUUUUUACACUAUAUCAAACAUGUUGGAAUUCAGUACCAUGUUGCCAAAUUAAGAUGCUAGUAAAUCAUGUUAGAGAAUAUUGAUAGAGAAUGUAAUGAAAAAGAGACCAAAUCUUGGCAGUAUCACUGCAGAAUGCUGCUGACAAAUGGAACUUUAUGUAGGUGACUCCCAGAUACAGAUCUAGUGUUUCUAUGUGAGAAAAAUGCACCUUAAAUUAAGGUUUGUCUAAGAAGACAAUAUUAAAAUAAAAUUACAUCAAAUGCUAGCUGUCUGUGUUUCACAUAAAGAAAUUCUAGUAACAUAACCCUCCUAUAGGAAGAACAUAUAAUACAUCUCAGAAGAUUAAGCAAGAGAAACCUGAAGUGAACGCAAAAUUCCAUGAAUAGCCCUUUCAGUCAGAGAUUGCAAUAAAAUGUCAGCUGCCUUGAUCGGUCAGGUCAUCUACUUCUUUCAGUAAACAUCCUAAUUCAAUUUGUUGUCUACAGACAAGCAUUCUUGUUUGGGGGUCACUAGAGGAAACUGGAAAAUCUACCUGAAUUGAAUUCCUAUUACUUAAUUAUACUGUUCUGGAAGGUGCAUUUUUCUAAGUGAAUAUAUGGACUUCAGUGCAUAGCUGUCAUAUAAAUCACCUCAAGCACAUAUGAGGAAUGAUUUAAAGUCUAUAAUACUCUUCCCUCAUAGCCUAAUGUUAGACUUCCUGGCUAGAAUGUCAAAAGUAUUGAACAAUGCAUCUGCAAAUAUGAGCUGUGAUUUAAAAAAACUGGUGGGGAUAAUUUAUAAUUUAUGUUUUUCUACUUCUUUAUAUUUUUAAAAUUAUUAUUUCCUGAAGAUAUCCAAGUGAAAGAGUUUUGCCGUAGCAAACAAGAAUUUUAAACUGCAUAUUUUGAGUUGCCUAGCGAGUAAUAGUACUGGGUUCAAAUGUUUCCCUGCUGGCUGCCAUUUGCAAUUUACUGUUUACUCAGCUGAUUUUAAGCCUUCUGUCUCUCAGCAACUUGUUCAAAGCCACCUAAUUUCCACCUAGCCUUUCCUCUUUUUUUCCCCAUUAGUCCUGCUCCUGGCCUUUUGGGUCUUGUCUGUUCAGCUUAAAACAUAGGAAGGAUACUGCUACAAGGAUACCGGAUGGUAAAGCUGGAAGUAUACAAAUGCUAACAUGUAUCAUGGGCUUAUUUCCUCUUGUCUUUUAGAUUGCUCUGGAGGUCCCCUAAAGACUGAAUUUCACCUUGCUCUCUAGCUAUAUGGAUGUGAACUGUGUUGGAAAACAAGUAAUAUAACAAAGGGUCCAGUUGCCAUGGCAAGUCUAAGGCAGCUCCUUAGGUUCCUAAUGGUUAUUUAAAAGUAGCCCAUAACCUGGGCAGUCCCAUCAUAGGUAACGCUGUGAACUAGUAUCAUGAAAAAACUCUUUUGUCUAGCUCUUCUUCACAUUGCCUCUCAUUCCGAGCUCUCCCCAACUGACCUGCCUUAGAAUAGGCCCUGAUGACCCAUUUUGUCUCUUUAGCAGCAGUGGAUAAUUUCUUAAUCACCUAGACAACAGGAGCAGAACCUGAAUCCUGUAUUUGCAGAGCAGAACAGCUCAGCUGAAGGAUACAGCAACUGCCCAGUGAUGAGUAGUCUGAGAUGUGUGCUGGGGUCAGACUGGCAAUUUCUGGCUGACAGCUGAGCAGAUCAGCUGAACAAAUUGAAACAAAUCAAAGCUCAGGGAGGAGGUUAUACAUUUGGGGGCUACUAUCAAAAGCGUGGGUUGAUUAAUUGGGACAUGGCUGCUCAGCGAGUGGCGCCUACUGACUUUUACGGGAAGCUGCUGAUUAUUUUGGUCUGUUUGGAAAGCUGAGGAUGGAGUUUGUGUUGGCUUGGUGAGUCUUAUGCCAAGCAGCUGUUGCCAUUCUCCUCAAGCUGGACUAUCCAGGUAGGUGUUUGAAGCCCCUGUUCUAGGAAGAGAAAGUUGAAAAAGACUUCUUGGGCCA